rnacentral:rRNA from 1 species
GCGCUCCUCAUGUCGGGGACGGGUGAUCCGUGACCUACAUUGGGAUCUCCGGGAAACCGGAGGCUAAUACCGAAUAAUCUAUUUUACUUCAUGGUGAAAUACUGAAAGACGGUUUCGGCUGUCGCUAUAAGAUGGGCCCGCGGCGCAUUAGCUAGUUGGUGAGGUAACGGCUCACCAAGGCGACGAUGCGUAGCCGAACCUGAGAGGGUGAUCGGCCACACUGGGAUUGAGACACGGCCCAGACUCCUACGGGAGGCAGCAGUAGGGAACCUUCCACAAAUGGGCGAAAGCCUGAUGGAGCAAACGCCGCGUGAGUGACAGAAGGUUUUCGGAUUGUAAAAACUCUGUAGUAAGGGAAGAACAAGUACAGUAGUAACUGGCUGUACCUUGACGGUACCUUAUUAGAAAAGGCCACGGGGUAAACUACGGUGCCAGCAGCCGGCGGGUAAAUACGUAGGUGGCAAGCCGUUGUCCCGGAACUUAUUAGGGCGNUAAAGCGCGACGCAGUGCGG